AUGGCUGCAAUACCUAGCAAAACUUUUUAUGGCAGCUCCCGACCGAAAUAUGGACAUGGAAAAAUUUCCUUUUCGAGAGCUGAAGAAUUGCUCAAUGCAAUUGCAAACGACUCUGACAUUGAAGAGCUAUCAGAUGGUGAAGAGAAUGAUCCUCUUGUGGGGGAGUUCGUUUCAUGUGGAGCAACUGUGGAGCAACCACCUGAUGACUCUGAUUCACUGUCCAAUGCAGCAGAAGAUGCUGAUUCUGAUUAUUUACCAACUGAUGCUGAUCACCUGUCAAGCCUGUUGCAUAUAAAAGUGGCGCAUCAAAAGUGGCGGAGGGAGGUGACAUCUUGGAGGUCGUCCAGGACUUCAUUUUAUGCUGAAGCACGACUGCAGACAGUGGAAGAGAAGAAGACAACAGGUGACGGACAAAAGAGAACCCAUUGGCAGAGUCAAAUAGAGACAAAUGAAGAAGCAGACAACAACCUGAAGCUGCAGCUGUCACGCGACAAACACUACAACGAGAUCGCUGCAUGUGUGAGCACAAGUGACACUGUGGCCGCCGGUCCACGACUGGUAGAAAAAGAUGACGCGAGGAGUGAAAUAUGGAAGUACUUGGCCUACCUUGCUGACAGUGAGGGCAAAGCUACCGAUAAGUCGAGACCUGUUUGUCGUCAGUGCUACAAACAAAUGCAAACAAAGAAAGCCAACACCUGGAACCUGGCGAAACACUUGGCCGACAAGCACGCCGAGUAGUAGGAGGAGUUUAAAGACUGACAGGUUAGUAUGUGAAAGAUAACCCGACCACGCUCAUGCCCUUAAAUAAGUCAAAUGAGUAGGCUAUGGUUUAUUUUGUGAGAAGUCACUAUUUUGCACCACCGUAGUUUGACGAGGCUAUCUAGAGAAAUAGUAGGCUAACUAUGGGCAUUAUGCUCAUGGCUAACCAAUAGCCUGCCUACGGCUAAUUCAACAUCUCUGAAAACGCAACUUUGACAGAUAACGUUAAUAAUUUGCAAGCUGCUAAAAUAAAGCAUACAAAACAUCAGCUAAAAUGAUCUAUAGGCUAUAUGAUUAUAAUCAGAGCAUGUGCAUGUUUGUCAGUGAUUUAUUUCUAUUAGGUUAUUAGAGCAUUUAAAGAGCACAGACCUACGCAAAGGAGGUGUAUUUGUGAAACACCUUGUAAGAAAUGAUGGACUCAAAUAUAAAGUUAACCAUCAAAGAAAUCAGACAUUGAAGUACAGUAAACAUUAGCCUAUAUGAAUCCAUAUAUCACAGCUUAAAUAACAUUAGGUUAACUCAUUAUUACCUAUUAUUAAUUAUGGUAAUGUUAUGGUUAAGUAAAUGUUAGCAGUUAUCACUAUAACCACUGCAUAUAGAGAUGCUAAGUUAGUCACAAGUUAUUGUUACUAUCACACAAACUAUUUAGGUCCUCUGUUAUGACAAAUUUAUCACCAUCAUAUUUAAAUAUUUUCUUCUGCUACAGAAAAGUAUCAAAAAAGUAUCGAAAUUGCAAUUCUUGACUUGGUAUCGGUAUCGAAACAAUAAUUUUGGUAUUGUGACAACACUACCACCGUAGUAACUGUAAUCUUUGAGACACACAUACACAGAUACACACACCUUUUCCUUUAUUUUGUUUCUCUAGUUAGAUUGUUUUUCCUCUGUUUUGCUUUUAUUAUUAUUUUUAUUUUUAGUUAUUAAACUUUUUCUUUAAAGAAAAAUAAGUUAUACAUGUUGCUCUUAAGUUUGUAUACAUGCCAUUAAUCAAGAAAGAAAAAUUCACAUCAUUACAAAAGCACCCUCACUCUCUCCUAUCACAGUACUUCUAUACCGGUUCUGGACUGGUAGGGAACUAAAGAAUCCAAAAAAUAAGAAGUGGUAGUGAUAACUACAAAAAUAAAAAUAGAAUAAAUAAAAUAGGUAAAUAUACAGCAGUAAAUAAAAUAGACAAUAACAGCUGUAAAAUGAAUACAUUUGUCUGUUCCAUAUGUACCUUUCCUCCUUCAUAACUUUUUACUGCAAAUAAUAUCUUAUAGUGGGGGGAUAAUAACUGCGAUGGCAAAAUCAACAACACAAAUGGUAAUAACUAUAGAUUAAGUAAGAUUGCUGUAUACAUGUAUAACUCUCUAUUUCCUGAAACAAAGAAAGAAAACUGAACCAGAUGAGUGGAGUCAAAAACUAGGGGGAUUUAUCACAUUACCCAGUAUCUUGCCUUAAAGUUGUUAUAAAGUUUAUCUAGGUUUUCCAGUAACUCUCAAACUUAUCUUGUUCAAGCCUGAGAAUGAAUGUUAGCCUCUCCAUUAUAAAAAUAUCCUGAACCACUUUGAUCCAGUCCUCGACUCUAGCAGAAUCUUUUGCCAACCAUUUCCUUGUGAUUGCUUUCUUACUUGCUAGUAAUAGGAUAUUAUACAUAUAUUUGUUUUCAGACCCCUUCACAGUGUCCGGUCUUAAUCCCAGACAUAAAGUCACAAACUCUGAUGGAAUAACUAUUUUCAUGAUUUUCUCCAUGGUCAAUUUAAUUUCUUUCCAAUAUUUUGAAAUGACCAUGCAGUCCCAAAACACAUGAAAAUGUGUUGCCUUAUUCUCGCCACAGGAUCUCCAACAGGAUGUACUUGCUCCCUUUUUUCUUUAUAUAUGCAGUAUCAUUCCCCUCUACCUCUUGUUAUGUUAACAUAUUAGUUUGUUGCAAUUCUUCCUUUCUCGUUAUUUUCUCUAGGUAAUGUCUAAGUUGCAAAAAUCUAUAAAAUUCCUAACUGGUUAAACCGAAUAGAUUUUUAAGAUCCUGAAAUUGUCGCAGCUUGCCCCCCUCAUAAAGGUCACAGUGUUUUAUUAACCCUUUAUCGGCCCACUGUUUAAAUCUUGCAUCCAUCCUGUUUGGUAAGAAAUCUGAGUCAUAUCCUAUCCAUCUUAUGAUCCAGUAUGGUUUUUUGGCCUUGUUUUCAUUGACUACCCUGUGCCAAAUCUUAAUUGACAUUUUUAUCAAUGGGUUUAUGUCUUUUAGACAGGUAACCAACCCACUGUCCCCGAUGAUUGCUUGUAAUGGAAUAUCACUAGAUAUCUGACAUUCUAUGUCUUUUCACUCCGCUUUAUAAGAAGGGUUACAGAUAUUAACUAAAUUUUUUAUCUGCACCGCUUGGUAGUAAUUCUUAAUAUUCGGGAGAGAGAGGCCUCCUUUGUCUUUUGCUAGUUGAAGAGUCUUAUAGCGAAUUCUUGGCCUCUUCCCCUGCCAGAUGAAUCAGGAUAUUAAUUUGUCUAAUUCUUGAAAUUUCCCCAUUGGAAGUUCUGCUGGUAUGUUUUGGAACAGAUAUAAUAAUCUGGGUAGCACGUUCAUUUUUAUUGCUUCUACCCUCUGUCCUUAUCCUAAAAAGGGCACUAGAUUCCAUCUGGUCAGGUCAGAUUUGAUUUUGGAAAUUAGGGGGUCAUAGUUCUCUGAUACAAUUGUAUUCAAAUGUUUAGGAAUAUUCACACCUAGGUACUUAAUUGACUUUGAUUCCCAACUCACUUUAAAUUCCUCUCUGAUGGAUUGGCUAGGAGAGUAAUUAAAUGUCACAAUUUGAGAUUUGUUGGUGUUUAGUUUAUAACCUGAUAAUAAACCGUAUUCCCUCAGCAAUUCUGGAAAGGAAACAGAUGGAUGUCCCAAGUAUAUCAAAAUAUCAUCUGCGAAAAGGGCAAUUUUGUGUUCUUCUUGGGACACCAUGAUCCCCCUUGUCUUCUCGUUCUGUCUUAUCCACUGACUUAAGGGCUCUAUAAAGAUGGCGAAUAAGAGUGGGGACACGGGACAACCUUGUCGACAUCCCCUCUCUAAUUAAAAAAUAUUUGAUAAUCCUCCAUUAAUCCGAAUUUUAGCUGUUGGUUUAUAGUAUAAAGCUUGUAUUGUCCUAACAAAGUCAUCGUGGAACUGGAAUCUCUCUAGUAUCUUAUAUAGGAAGGGCCAAUCAACAGAGUCGAAUGCCUUCUCUGUAUCUAACCCUAGCAGGACAGCCUCUAAAUUAUCUUUGUUUAUAUGGUUAAUUACAUGUAAUGUCCUCCUAACGCUAUCCUGUGUUUGCCUCUGUCUAAUGAAACCUGUUUGAUCCAACUGUAUAAUAUCUGGAAGUAUUAUUUCUAAGCGUUUUGCUAGAAUUGAUGUGAAGAGCUUAUAAUCCUGGUUCAACAAACUAAUUGGGCGGUAGUUAGAGCAGUCUGUCCCAUCUUUCCCUUCUUUUGGUAUCACAGUUAUAAUUGCUUCCCUCCAAGAUGGAGGAAUUUCUCCUUUCUUAAGGACCCAAUUGAAUGUUCUGAGCAACAAUGGUGAUCAAGAGUCACUAAAAGUCUUAUAGCAUUCCGCUGUAAACCCAUCAGAGCCUGGAGGCUUAUUAGGUUUGAGUCUAGAUAUUGCGUUUUGGAGUUCUCCUAUAGUCACACUGGCCAGUAAAGCUUUAUUCUGAUCUUCUGUAAUUGUUGGGAGAUUAAGUGAUGCAAGCAGAGAUUCAGGUGACUUGUCCCCCUUAUAGGCCAUCUGGGCAUUUAGGUUUUUGUAAUAUUUUUCAAAACAACUGUGAAUGUCUUGGAACUCAUGUUUCAUUUGUUUGGUGAUUGGGACUUUAAUUUUAUGUACUACCAUCUCUGCUUGUUUUCUUAAUUUGUAUGCCAGAAUUUUGGCUGAUUUACUCCUUAUUUCAUAAUACCUCUGUUUAGUUUUUUCUGAAUGUCUGCCUCAUAAAUGUCUUUGAUCUGAUUUUUAAUUUCCCCAAUUUUCUGGCUAAUGUCCAAUUGGGUACAUUUUUUAUGUUUUUUUCCAAGUUUUCCAACUCUUUUUGUAGUUUAUCCAAUUUCUCCUGUCUGAGCCUCUUUUGUAGUGCCAAUUUCGCAAUGAUUUUCCCUCUCAAAACAGCCUUACCUGCAUCCCAUACCAUAAAAUCAUUUUCUGACAGGUAUAACUUAAUUUCCUCUUGAAGUUCUUCCUUCAUUUUUCCCUUGAGUACGUUUAGAUUAAGUCUCCAGGAAAAAGCGUUUUUUUAGAUUUAAAUCUAGGUACACCGGACUAUGGUCCGACAGGUCCAUUAACCCAAUUUUACAUGACCUUACAAAACUGAUAUCUUUACUGUACAUAAAAAAAUAAUCAAUCCUUGAAUAAGUUUUAUGUAGUGAGGAAUAAAAGGUGUAAUCUCUAGUUGUGGGAUUGAGCUACCUCCAUACAUCACAGAUACCCAUCUCUCUUAUCAUCCUUCUCACCUUUUUGCCUACAGUGUUAUUCUGGGUCUGAGCUAAUCUUGACACAUCCCAUUUUGGG
rnacentral:lncRNA from 15 species